rnacentral:rRNA from 1 species
AUACGGAGGGUGCAAGCGUUAAUCGGAAUUACUGGGCGUAAAGGGCGCGCAGGCGGCUUGGGAAGUCUUGGGUGAAAGCCCCCAGCUCAACUGGGGAAUGGCCUGAGAAACCACUAGGCUGGAGUGCUGGAGAGGGAAGCGGAAUUCCCGGUGGAGCGGUGAAAUGCGUAGAUAUCGGGAGGAACACCAGAGGCGAAGGCGGCUUCCUGGACAGACACUGACGCUGAGGCGCGAAAGCUAGGGGAGCAAACCGGAUUAGAAACCCCAGUAGUCC